GAAGUCGGCCGGGCAGUCGCUGCGCAUUGUGCGUGGAGGAAAGUCCGGGCUCCAAUGGGCAGGGUGCCAGGUAACGCCUGGGCGGCGUGAGCCGACGGAAAGUGCCGCAGAAAAUAUACCGCCGAUGGUGGCCGUCAGGUCAUACAGGUAAGGGUGAAAUGGUGCGGUAAGAGCGCACCGCGCCGGUGGCAACACCGCGUGGCAGGGUAAACCCCACCCGGAGCAAGACCAAAUAGGGGGGCAUACGCGUGGCCCGCGCGGCUCCCGGGUAGGUCGCUUGAGGUACUUGGUGACAAGUAUCGCAGAUGAAUGGCUGCUCUCGACAGAACCCGGCUUAUAGGCCGGCUUCCACU
rnacentral:RNase_P_RNA from 1 species